UAAUUUGUAAUAAAGAGUAUAUCCACUUGUUCCUCGUCCCCGUUUGCUCAGCGCCGUUAAAUUGUAUAUUAAACGGGAUGCAGGAGUUUUCUACCCGGAAGUUAUUGGAAACAAACAUCGUGAUUGGGUCUAUACAUUCUCAAGUAGCUGAACCCUCCAGUAGAAAAUUUGGGCCCCCUAAAAACUGCUCCUUCUGAGCUGUGAGACUAUAAUUCCUUGCAUCGUCCAGGGCCCCUGUCCAGCUCUGGGCACCCUGAGUCAAUCAGACCUCCCAUUCGGUGCCCCUUGUGGGAUGUAACAGUUGAAUGAUCAUGUUUCAUUUGAGCUGCCCAAGCCCUUACCCUCAUGAGCUUUGAAGUAAGCUCUCACUUUGGGAAUUCUUAGUAGUCCUGCAGUGGUAUGCAGUAAAAUAUAGGCUUUAUUUUACUGUUUAAUGGAAUCUGCAAGAUUAACGUUGGCAGAAAUAUUGCUUUUCAGAUUCCAUGUAUUAUAUAGUAUAUUUUACCAAUGAAUUACUGCGCUGGGUCAUUUGUAAAAAGUGCUAAAUCUUCUUAGAUUGAGGCCUCUAGCUUUGGUGGGUUACAUUACUGUUGAAAGUGUGUAAGAAGUCUAGCAUGACCGCUUUCUUUAUUCACAUCUUGUGGCAAAAUGCAGAACUCUGUCUCUUUCAAAGGACAAUACCAGUGUUUUUCAUGUUUUGUCAUUAUGAUUAGGGUAAUGUCUGCAGUAAUGUAAAGUAAAUUAUAUGUGAUUUGUGGUAAAUAAAUGAAAACAUGCAAAAAGAAAGCUAAAAGUCAUUGAUAUAUCACUGUGCCAAAACACACCUGAGACAGGGCUACUGAGGCAGGUUUAAUGAAAAGAUCGCUCCUUCAUUUUGGUGCAAUGAUGAAGUGACAGACUGCACAGCACUCAAUAUUCAUGCAUAUACAUUUAUAUGCUACUGAUCUGUCUGCCAAACUGAUGUUAUGUACAAGUGAGCUUCAUCUCUGAUUGGCUCUUGUGUCCAGAUGCCAGAUUCCUGUAUGUACAAACUAUUUGGUAUUUUUUCUUUCUUCAAACUGUAAUGGUGUGAAAAGUUGCCCACUAUGAGAACUUGUAAAUAGCUACAUUUAAACAUGUCAAUAAAAAUAGUUUACUAUUUC